ensembl:misc_RNA Metazoa_SRP Metazoan signal recognition particle RNA
GCCAGGCAUGGUGAUGCGUGCCUGUAGUCCCAGCUACUUGGAGGCUAAGAUGAGAGAAUUCCUUGAGCCUGGGAGGUUCCAGGCUGCAGUGAGCUAUGACCAUGACACUGCACUCUAGCCUGGGUGACAGAGAAAGACCUUGUCUCUA